rnacentral:ribozyme from 1 species
AUAUACUACUACAAUGGAAUCUAAUAAUAAUACAAAGAAUACUAACGAAACACCGCCACCAGAAACAGCAGCAGCGGGAGCAACUGCCGCUGCCUAUGCGGAAGAAGAAGAAGAAUUAAGAGACGC